rnacentral:rRNA from 1 species
UACGGAGGAUCCAAGCGUUAUCCGGAAUCAUUGGGGUUAAAGGGUCCGUAGGCGGUUUUGUAAGUCAGUGGUGAAAGCCCAUCGCUCAACGGUGGAACGGCCAUUGAUACUGCAAGACUUGAAUUAUUAGGAAGUAACUAGAAUAUGUAGUGUAGCGGUGAAAUGCUUAGAGAUUACAUGGAAUACCAAUUGCGAAGGCAGGUUACUACUAAUUGAUUGACGCUGAUGGACGAAAGCGUGGGGAGCGAACAGG